ensembl:snoRNA SNORD14 Small nucleolar RNA SNORD14
UCACUAUGAUGAUUGAUUUCCAAACAUUCGCAGUUUCCACCAGAAAGGUUUUUCCUUGUGUUGGCCAGAUCUUCCUUGGAUGUCUGAGUGA